rnacentral:rRNA from 1 species
AUUGAACGCUGGCGGCAUGCCUUACACAUGCAAGUCGAACGGUAACAGGUCUUCGGAUGCUGACGAGUGGCGAACGGGUGAGUAAUACAUCGGAACGUGCCUAGUAGCGGGGGAUAACUACUCGAAAGAGUGGCUAAUACCGCAUGAGAUCUACGGACGAAAGCAGAGGAUCGCAAGACCUUGUGCUACUAGAGCGGCCGAUGGCAGAUUAGGUAGUUGGUGGGAUAAAAGCUUACCAAGCCGACGAUCUGUAGCUGGUCUGAGAGGACGAUCAGCCACACUGGGACUGAGACACGGCCCAGACUCCUACGGGAGGCAGCAGUGGGGAAUUUUGGACAAUGGGCGAAAGCCUGAUCCAGCAAUGCCGCGUGCAGGAUGAAGGCCUUCGGGUUGUAAACUGCUUUUGUACGGAACGAAAAGCCCCGGGUUAAUACCCUGGGGUCAUGACGGUACCGUAAGAAUAAGCACCGGCUAACUACGUGCCAGCAGCCGCCGUAA